rnacentral:lncRNA from 1 species
ACUCUUAUUAUGUAUGGACAGUCCAGGAACGAGACCUUCACCUAACCCUCAGAAGGUUGGCUCGUUGUUAACAAGCAAAUGCGAAGGAAAAGAGCUCAAGUUCAAGGAUAAAAACAACCGACUACAUCAGAAGAAAAGGCAGAUGGGGCACCUGCUACCGGAACCGGAUCCCGUUGAAGUUUACGAAUAGAGUUCGGUCUAACGCAACCCAACUAGUUAUUAUUAUUCAAUAGCAGUCCCUUGCCCAGCUGGGUCGAGGUACCAUGCCUUCUCCUUGACAGAUGGAGAUAGCUUCGAAUGAUGAGAAAGUGCGAUACCUACUUUAAUGGGAAAUGCUGUAAGCUCCGGCUUUGCGAUAUGACCCACGUUGCAAUGUUCUAAGAUGAUGCUUCUGGAAAGCGGAAUUAAUAGAAUAUGCUAAAGUUGCGGUUAGCCUUUCACCUUCCUUCUUUGUGAUGGAUACCCUACCCGAAUCGUUGCUCCUACUCAAUGUAAUUAUUUACUAUACAUUGACAGAUGACCGCUAGUGCAGUAAGCAAUAAGUUCCCCACUAAUUCAUAUUGAGUUUAUUGACUUAAGCCAUCUCUUCACGAUUUGGUAAAAGCUUUCCAGCAGUUUAAUACACCUAUUCAUCAGGAUAAUCCCGAGCGUUAGCGUUUUCAACUUCCUUCCGUUUUCGACUUCCCGAACCCGAAGCGGGCAUCUCUAGGAGAAAGACCAAAGAAUGCCAACAUCGCAGGUUUUUUCAUUCAGCUGGUAGUCCAAGAACGCGUGCUUCUCGCCUCUCCCCAUCCCUUGGCCAACCGCACCCUUCACUUAAUGAAUGCGAUGCAGCCACCAAGGCCUCCUUCUAUUGGUUAUUGAAAGGUCCUACCAACCAAUACGAUUUACUCGCAUCAAAGGAGCGGGGGCAGGGAUUGUUUUCAUGACCCCAGAAAGGUCAAUGAUCCCUUACUCGUUCACACUGACUUCAGCAGCUUCAAACAGGGCUGCUGAAUAGGAAGCCCUAAUGGAUUGGGUAUAGCUUUGGAGAUGAAGAUUGAUCCUCGUGCUUACAGUUCUCAACUGAUCGUUAAUCAACUGAAAGGGAUCUACACUAUUAAUCAAGAGGUCUCUCAAGCCUUACUUCAUCAAGGCACGCAAGCUCCUAAGCUAAUAAGAUCUUUUGUCAAUACUUGAUCACCAGUUAGAAAGGGAAAGGAGGAUCUAUCUCUUUAAAGGAGGGGAAUCGAUGAAAGAGGUCGUAAAGCAAGAGCUGCUUCAUCUAAUAGUUCAGUCCUUAGGCCGACAUUCAAUAGAGAGACGGGAGUAAACCAUUUCACAUAGCCGGGCUCUUGCCCAUUCUUUCUUUCGUGGGCAUGUGCUAAAGGAAGCGUAGAAGUAGGAGUAGCAGGCACUGGUCUUGACCCUUACCCCCGUAAGGGGAUCUAAGACCCUUAGGCCAAUUAGACUGAAUUAGUGGUAGUAUGCCUUUCCUGAUUACUUUUUUUCUGCGCUAUACCUUUACUGCUUGGAGGAAGAGAAUCAGCUGUUACAGACCCGGUUGUGAAAGAAGGCAAGUCUACUGACUUGGCUCUUUGAAGGACAACUUCCCUUGUUAAUGUACGAGCAGGGGACGAAAGAUGCCCACAAUCAGAUGCUAGAGGAACUGAACUGCCAAUAUGUAUAUCAAGAUCAAUAAUAAAGGCAAGAUUAUGUUCUGCUCUUGUCUCAGAUUUCACCUCUCUGCGUGGGAGAGGGGAAUGAGGAGGUAGCGUCGUAGGGACUCGAGCUUUCUCGUUCUUUUUUCUUUUCGCUUUCGGAUAACUCUUUCUUUCUUGGCAACGGUAAACACUCCCUAGCUAUUUAGCCUGCUAAUCUAAAGUUUGUAUUUGUGCUAAUACUUUCGCAUUAAUCGGUAAAACGCUUGGGCGAUCCCACUUAUAAAAAGACUGAUAUUGGGCGAGGGACUCAUACAACUACACUUAUGCGGAUACGAAGGCUGGUGAGAAUGCUACAUAGGGAAUCCUACUAAAGCACUGGCUUACGCUAUCACAAGUAAAGCUCUAACAUGCUUACAGAAAGCCCAAGGAAUGGAAGCGAGAAAGACUGGAAAUACAGAUAAGAUCUCAACCUAACCUAUCCAACGAGUUAUUUCACCCUUUGCCUUGGAUUAGGCACUCCCACUAUAUGGGACUUAGAAUGUUACCAGUAACUAGACCUUCUGUGAAGGAAGCUCCUACUAGCUAUGCUAUAUUAAGCACUGUAUAGUCAAAAUGAUAGCAAUAAACCUUGAAAGAGUUAGCUCCUUAGAUGGAAUCACAAUCAAUGCUGUUCGCAAGGAGAAAAGCUAUCAAAGAGAGUCCUCUAAGUCCCGGCGGUAUGCUCCUUACGCUCGUUUACUAGUUAGAGCCUUAUGAAAGGGAAGCACUUUUCCUAGUUCGAUUGGUAGUCUGAAGGGACGGAGUGCAUGGCCGGGAAGCUCGACUGAGAAAGAAAGAAGUAGAGGAUGCCGGUUUUUGAGUAGCAGCGGGAGCCAAUGACUCUGCUGCCUGAGAAUGCUUUCCAUGAGAAGGAUAGCGAAGGUCGGUAGGGAAACCCUCUACUUAACAGUAGAGCUACUCCGUUAUUCGUUCUUUGCAGAACUCAGAACUCCGUACCUCACUUAACGAGUCCCGUCCAUGGAAUGAAAUGCCCUGUUGCGGUCUGGUAUGAUAGGUAUCGGGAUGCUAGAGGUCGACCUAUGGUUCAAUCUAAGUGGCUACUUUCCCAGACAAGUACCGGGGAAUGAAUGCAAAGUGGAAUCGACUGAGAAUGAAGAAAGUUCGCCGGGCUGAUAGAGACCCGCUAGAGGAAUGAGUGGGAUUAGUCUCUAAUGGGCUUUACUUGGACGGCCAUCCGAAUCUGCCUGUGCGGGAAUUUUUUAUAGCUAGGAAUUAGCUAGCGAGUGGAAUACCUGGAACGAGUUUCUAGCGACUGUUUGGACACGUUCCAAGCCGGAUGGAAAAGAUAGCUUUUCGCGAGAGAUGAAGGGACACUCACUCUUAUCUGCUGUCCGAAGCAUACCGAAUUCGAACCCAUUUUUAUCCUAUAAUCUCCGGACUGGUGCUUUGCUUUCGGUUCUUCGGAGGAAACCUUACCAGACCACCACCCGACUUCGUUGCUUGUGUGUGCUUGCACAUACAUAGCCGAACAGGGCCUACAGAAGUCAACCUUUCUUUUCUAAAUGCACACGCUUUACUGUGCGGACGGAAAGCCCUCGAUUAAUGCCAUGGCUAUAAUAAGACAGCUUCGAAGACGAAUAAUGCUAUGGCAAACCCUACUUAUCUUUUAUCUGUCUUCCACCCCAUUCUUUCUUUAAAGAGGGGUGGAACCCUCAAACUAAGUGACCUGGUACCCCAACUCAAAAUUUAUCGUGUACUUCUUGUGUUUACAGCAAGAUCUCUAUCUAAGUGUUGACAUCAAAUUCCUUACGGUAGAGCCCGAUCUUGAUUUAUAUGAAUUGCUGGGCGGUUUCCUCAGCUAAUUAAGAAGCCCUUAUUUCGAUUGACUCAGCUACUGAUACAGAUGUUGGCUACUCACAGACGUUCUCAUAUCAUACAUAAUCUACUGGAAAGCUAGAUCUUGGAUGUGCAGAUUUAGUUUAAUAUUCAUAAGUAGCAGGGUACCUGUUCUUGAGUCAUAUCUGCUGUCUCGACUAUACAUAUUUCCCAUCCAAAAAAAUGUUACAAUGAACUCCAAGCUUCGAGUAGGGCUUCGGUGCCUUCUCUCAAUCGGCAAGGAAGCUAGCAAUGAAGGGUAUUUAUCCAAUGAGGCUUUCUCCUUUACUGCAGCCGGUGGAUUGGUCUUUUUUUUUAGACCUCUUCCCGAUCUCAAGAAUACAAGAGGGAGCUCGCACUAGAUCUUCGAGUGGAAGAUAUGGAAGGACUAGCUUGGGAAGGAGGAAGUGUGAACAGCUCCCAAAGGCUUGAUUUUCUGAGUUAUGUUCGGACAUCGAAGCUAGUUCCAUACAAGGUGAACCUUCCUUCCUUCUUUGCUUGGUUCCUGCGCUAACGCCUAAUAGAUAGAUGUGGGCUUUCUUUCGGGCUAGUGCAGUGCGCUCAACCGCUUCCAGCUACAACUCAACGUACCGGGACCACAACUAAGCCUUUAGUCGAGCCAGUUUACUUACUCGGAUUCUUCCCCGGCAUUUGUCAAUGCGCUUUUCUGAGUUUUCCCUCGUUUUGGCUCACUCCCGCUCGGGAACUUUCUUGAUUAUGAUUUUGAUACACAUCGGCCAAAAAGCCUUUCUUUCCUUCAUGUCAUCCGAAUCAGGCGGUUAUGCAUGAGUUAGGCGGGCUAUCGUGAUAGAGCCUUUAAUGCCAGGAGUCCCGAAUUCUUCCAUACAGUUCGAGAAGGGUUGCGAAAAGCCAUCGACCAAUAGUGCCCUAGUUACCUGCGGGUCGGGCCGGUCAGCCUUUCUUUGGCUAAGCUGAUUAAGAUCGAUUUAUUAGAGUGAACUUUGAUCUCCUUUACUUGAUUGAUAGGAAAGUGACCCUUGGCUAUCUUACGAAGAGCCUAACUCUCUCAUCUAAAAAGAUUGACACUAAGCGAAGAAUGCAGACUGGAAACUCAAAUUCCCUGAAGCUCAUGUUGUGGUUCUGCCUAGAACACAUUCGGAUCACAAUCCGAUUCUCAUUGACUCUGCUGAUUACAUUUAUAAUUUCCGUCAGAAUAGACCCUUUCGCUAUCAAGCUGCUUGGCUAAACCAUGAUCAGUUCCACAAUAUCUUCAAGCAAGUCCAUCCGUUCAAGUGGCCAUUCCAUCACUUCUGCAACCUCAGCUUUACUUUAACAGUAGCGGUUAAGGAUUGGAAUAAGGCAGUUUUCGGUAACUCACAACAAGCGCCGAACCUUAGCCCGGCUAGAGGGCAUCCAGCGGGCCCUUACUCAUAAACAUUCGGACUUCCUCAUGAAAUUAGAGAAGGACCUCAUCACCUACUACAACCAAUUACUUAGAGAUGAGGAAUUACACUGGUGCCCCGAUCCCUGAUGGGCCAAGGACCUCUGAUUGGUUUAGAUCUAUUCUGCCGGUUCCUCCGAGGCUGCUUUCAUUGCUUUCUUCAUACAUACGAGGUAGUUUCAACCACCCCACUCGGCAAUAGGAAAUCCCCUUCUCGACCAACUGAUCUACGAUGUUUCGUCACGCAUGCAAUGACAGAAGGACAGAAGCGCGCUAGUGCUCGUUGCAUUUCCCUCCUACUCGGGUAAAGUAUUUAGCUCGUUUGCUGUCAGGAAUUCAGUAGAGUGGCCGGUCGUUGAAAGAAGCAAGCCUAUAGCCAACGAAGGUGCGAAGGAAAUCCCAGAAGAAGAGUUGAUAAAGACCGCAUGCAGCACGAAGGAAGCAAUGUCCGCUAAAAGCUUAUAUAAGCACCAAAUACAACUGAUUCAACCAGGAAAAAAACCUUACGCCAAUGAAGGAUCAGUCGAAUCCGGGCACAGCGCUUUACCUUUACUACGCCAAUUCGGCUAUUAAAUUAAGCCUUACGAAGACGUUGUGACAAUAGCCCCCUUUCUUCUUUCCCGGCUACAGAGCCGCCGCCUCCCGCUCCGUGUAGCGUCUGUCUCUAAUUCAAUGACUUUCUUCCACGAAAAAAGCAGUCUGGAACUCACGUAAUUCUUGAUCUCUUCUGAUCCUAUCUUAACUUG